rnacentral:rRNA from 1 species
UGUAGGACACUCUAUACGGAGUUACAAAGGACGACAUUAGACGAAUCAUCUGGAAAGAUGAAUCAAAGAAGGUAAUAAUCCUGUAGUCGAAAAUGUUGUCUCUCUUGAGUGGAUCCUGAGUACGACGGAGCACGUGAAAUUCCGUCGGAAUCUGGGAGGACCAUCUCCUAAGGCUAAAUACUCUCUAGUGACCGAUAGUGAACCAGUACCGUGAGGGAAAGGUGAAAAGCACCCCGGAAGGGGAGUGAAAUAGAACCUGAAACCGUGUGCUUACAAGUAGUCAGAGCCCGUUAAUGGGUGAUGGCGUGCCUUUUGUAGAAUGAACCGGCGAGUUACGAUUUGAUGCAAGGUUAAGCAGUAAAUGUGGAGCCGUAGCGAAAGCGAGUCUGAAUAGGGCGUUUAGUAUUUGGUCGUAGACCCGAAACCAGGUGAUCUACCCUUGGUCAGGUUGAAGUUCAGGUAACACUGAAUGGAGGACCGAACCGACUUACGUUGAAAAGUGAGCGGAUGAACUGAGGGUAGCGGAGAAAUUCCAAUCGAACCUGGAGAUAGCUGGUUCUCUCCGAAAUAGCUUUAGGGCUAGCCUCAAGUGAUGAUUAUUGGAGGUAGAGCACUGUUUGGACGAGGGGCCCCUCUCGGGUUACCGAAUUCAGACAAACUCCGAAUGCCAAUUAAUUUAACUUGGGAGUCAGAACAUGGGUGAUAAGGUCCGUGUUCGAAAGGGAAACAGCCCAGACCACCAGCUAAGGUCCCAAAAUAUAUGUUAAGUGGAAAAGGAUGUGGCGUUGCCCAGACAACUAGGAUGUUGGCUUAGAAGCAGCCAUCAUUUAAAGAGUGCGUAAUAGCUCACUAGUCGAGUGACACUGCGCCGAAAAUGUACCGGGGCUAAACAUAUUACCGAAGCUGUGGAUUGUCCUUUGGACAAUGGUAGGAGAGCGUUCUAAGGGCGUUGAAGCAUGAUCGUAAGGACAUGUGGAGCGCUUAGAAGUGAGAAUGCCGGUGUGAGUAGCGAAAGACGGGUGAGAAUCCCGUCCACCGAUUGACUAAGGUUUCCAGAGGAAGGCUCGUCCGCUCUGGGUUAGUCGGGUCCUAAGCUGAGGCCGACAGGCGUAGGCGAUGGAUAACAGGUUGAUAUUCCUGUACCACCUAUAAUCGUUUUAAUCGAUGGGGGGACGCAGUAGGAUAGGCGAAGCGUGCGAUUGGAUUGCACGUCUAAGCAGUAAGGCUGAGUAUUAGGCAAAUCCGGUACUCGUUAAGGCUGAGCUGUGAUGGGGAGAAGACAUUGUGUCUUCGAGUCGUUGAUUUCACACUGCCGAGAAAAGCCUCUAGAUAGAAAAUAGGUGCCCGUACCGCAAACCGACACAGGUAGUCAAGAUGAGAAUUCUAAGGUGAGCGAGCGAACUCUCGUUAAGGAACUCGGCAAAAUGACCCCGUAACUUCGGGAGAAGGGGUGCUCUUUAGGGUUAACGCCCAGAAGAGCCGCAGUGAAUAGGCCCAAGCGACUGUUUAUCAAAAACACAGGUCUCUGCUAAACCGUAAGGUGAUGUAUAGGGGCUGACGCCUGCCCGGUGCUGGAAGGUUAAGAGGAGUGGUUAGCUUCUGCGAAGCUACGAAUCGAAGCCCCAGUAAACGGCGGCCGUAACUAUAACGGUCCUAAGGUAGCGAAAUUCCUUGUCGGGUAAGUUCCGACCCGCACGAAAGGCGUAACGAUUUGGGCACUGUCUCAACGAGAGACUCGGUGAAAUCAUAGUACCUGUGAAGAUGCAGGUUACCCGCGACAGGACGGAAAGACCCCGUGGAGCUUUACUGUAGCCUGAUAUUGAAAUUCGGCACAGCUUGUACAGGAUAGGUAGGAGCCUUUGAAACGUGAGCGCUAGCUUACGUGGAGGCGCUGGUGGGAUACUACCCUAGCUGUGUUGGCUUUCUAACCCGCACCACUUAUCGUGGUGGGAGACAGUGUCAGGCGGGCAGUUUGACUGGGGCGGUCGCCUCCUAAAAGGUAACGGAGGCGCUCAAAGGUUCCCUCAGAAUGGUUGGAAAUCAUUCAUAGAGUGUAAAGGCAUAAGGGAGCUUGACUGCGAGACCUACAAGUCGAGCAGGGUCGAAAGACGGACUUAGUGAUCCGGUGGUUCCGCAUGGAAGGGCCAUCGCUCAACGGAUAAAAGCUACCCCGGGGAUAACAGGCUUAUCUCCCCCAAGAGUUCACAUCGACGGGGAGGUUUGGCACCUCGAUGUCGGCUCAUCGCAUCCUGGGGCUGUAGUCGGUCCCAAGGGUUGGGCUGUUCGCCCAUUAAAGCGGUACGCGAGCUGGGUUCAGAACGUCGUGAGACAGUUCGGUCCCUAUCCGUCGUGGGCGUAGGAAAUUUGAGAGGAGCUGUCCUUAGUACGAGAGGACCGGGAUGGACAUACCUCUGGUGUACCAGUUGUCGUGCCAACGGCAUAGCUGGGUAGCUAUGUGUGGACGGGAUAAGUGCUGAAAGCAUCUAAGCAUGAAGCCCCCCUCAAGAUGAGAUUUCCCAACUUCGGUUAUAAGAUCCCUCAAAGAUGAUGAGGUUAAUAGGUUCGAGGUGGAAGCAUGGUGACAUGUGGAGCUGACGAAUACUAAUCGAUCGAAGACUUAAUCAA